rnacentral:siRNA from 1 species
GUGAGUGCUUCAUACAUCUCCACU